UGUGUGUGUGUGUGUGUGUGUGUGUGUGUCGUUGUGAAGCGGAGCCUCUGCAGAUGAACUCCUGAAUGUUCUGAUCCACUAAAGUUACGCACGCUGUGAGAAGAUCUGUCCGCUCUACUUGAUGUAUCUGGAGAAGUAUGAAAUGAUUUGGUCUGUUACAGAAGGAUGGACCGGGAGCUGCUUCGUCAGAGCCAAUCAGAACACGGAGAGGCCACCAAUGGGACCACGCCCGACACCUCCGCCCCUACAACUCCCACCCCCCCUCGACUCACCCCCAACCCCAUGCUCCUGGACUCUCCUGCACCCACGCUGACGCCCACCACCUCCUCCCCUCCUCCCCCUCUCACCCCUGCUCCCUCCGUCUCAGCGACACACAUCCCGAAGGUUGCGGCGACUACAGCCGGUGCUCCGUCCCCCCACAUCCUCAUCCCUGCUCCCCCUAAGCUCACCUCCACUGCAACCCCCACCCUCCGCACGUACUCUCGCCCGAUCCUUCCCUCCACGACGGGCGCCUCCAAACCCCCCCCCCCCCACCACUCAAACCUCCCCUCUCCUCCCUCCGUGCUCUCCUGUUGUAGCCACAAGCUCCUCGCCCCUCCUCUCUUCUUCUUCUGCAACGUACAGCAGCACCGCCAUGUCGACCAAGACCUCCACCAGCCUGACCAACGGGAACACGAGGCCGGUGUCCACGCCGACCUCCACACCCAUCACGCCCUUUCACACACCAGCCAGUCCACCUGGCAGACAGGUAUCACAGGCUCAUCCUGUGGGAACACCUGGUCCUGUGCGAGCUGAUCAGAGCCCCUCCCCUGUGAGGCAGAGGGUCUCCCAGCAGACAUUGCUCCUGGGGAAAGGUCUCAAAGGGUCUAGCCAAGAACAGGUGCUGCUUAGAGCUCAGAUGGUAAACACAGACACACACACACACACACACACACACACACACACACACACACACACACACACACACACACACACACACACACACACACACACACACACACACACACACACACACACACAUCUUCAGCGCUUGAAUAUGAUUCUGCUCUUUAUUUCCUCUCAUUGUCUUCCUCCAGCUGAUUCUUACGUCUGCUAUGCGACCUGCCCUGUCCUCCUCCUCUUCCUCCUCUUCCUCUCCUCCUUACUCUAACCUUGCCUCCGCUCAGGUGAGCAGCUCAGCCACUGCAACCUUUCCUGUGUGCAUGUUUGAUGUUCAUGUUGCUCGCUCCUGUUGCAUGACGGUCAGACGUCCUCUUCUUGCCCCACACAUGCAGAUUACAGUGACAGCUCGUCUUCUCUUCAAAUGUCUUAUGACUUUUUGAUUUCAGACACUUCCUCCAUCAGACAGAAGACACGGGGAAACAUUACCCAUUAAACUUCCACAAACUAACGUAGCUUGUUCACGAUAUGCUAACUCUUUAACGCUAACGCAUUAGCAUGUAGAAACUGUUAGCCCGACAUGCUAACAGCAGCUAACAGCAGCUAAAGUAUAAAGACGUGUUUCAGCUCUAACUUUCUGUCUCUGCAGCUCCAGAGUCUCACCCUGAGGCCUCCUCCCUCCGGGGCCCUCACCAUCCCUCCCUCCCUGCGCCUCAAGCCCCCCUGCUCCGCCCCGCCCCCCCUCUCUCGCCCUCACGCCCCCCUCUUCCCGCCUCUCAGGCCGCGACCGCAGCUCUGCACCACGGCAACGGAGAGCCCCAACACGCCGAGCCGCCACCUCUCCGUCCCGCCUCCAAGUAGGUCCCAGGAGGAAAACUAAUAAUAACUCUGGGGGGGGGGGUGUGUGUGUGUGUGUGUGUGUGUGUGUGCGUGUGUGUACGUGUGUGUGUACGUGUGUGUAUGUGUGUGUGUGUACGUGUGCGUGUGUGUACGUGUGUGUGUGUGUGUGUUUGUACGUGUGUAUGUGGGUGUGUGUGCGUGUGUGUACGUGUGUGUGUGUACGUGUGUGUGUGUG
ensembl:lncRNA